UACGAAGGGGGCUAGCGUUGCUCGGAAUCACUGGGCGUAAAGCGCACGUAGGCGGAUUGUUAAGUCAGGGGUGAAAUCCUGGAGCUCAACUCCAGAACUGCCUUUGAUACUGGCGAUCUUGAGUCCGGGAGAGGUGAGUGGAACUGCGAGUGUAGAGGUGAAAUUCGUAGAUAUUCGCAAGAACACCAGUGGCGAAGGCGGCUAUCUGGACGAUGGACUGACGCUGAGACGCGAAAGCGUGGGAGCAAACAGGAUUAGA
rnacentral:rRNA from 1 species